rnacentral:lncRNA from 1 species
UUGCAGCUGCCUCUGCCGCCUUUACUGCAGUCAUGAGAAGCAAUGAGCAAGGAAAUUUGAUUGACCAUGACUUGCUCAUCAAAAUUCUCAGCAACCCAAAAAUCAUUGAGAGAAUUGUUACAGAUCAGGUAGUCUCAUCCUCCAACCCUCAGGCUGUACCCAACCAAAGGUUGCCACCCAUAGCUUUAUCUGAUCAACCUCCUGGUCAUGUCAGUAGGGUAGAAACUAAUAUACCCUUGUCUGCUGCGAUUCCAAGUGGACCAUUCUACUCCCAGUCAAAUGGGCCUGGACCUGUUCCUGCACCACGGCCACCUCCAUCUAUGGUUGGACCUUCUUCCUCUUCACCUCCUGUGAGACCUGUAACAAAGGAUAUCAACUAUUAUAAGAGCUUGAUUCAGCAACAUGGAGGAGAAAGGCAAGAACCCCAAGAUCAGUCUCAAUCCCAUUCUCAAUUCGCAAACCGACCCAAUCACCAUGUUUUAGGGAUGAAUCCG